CCUACGGGAGGCAGCAGUGGGGAAUCUUGCGCAAUGGGCGAAAGCCUGACGCAGCCAUGCCGCGUGAAUGAUGAAGGUCUUAGGAUUGUAAAAUUCUUUCACCGGGGACGAUAAUGACGGUACCCGGAGAAGAAGCCCCGGCUAACUUCGUGCCAGCAGCCGCGGUAAUACGAAGGGGGCUAGCGUUGCUCGGAAUUACUGGGCGUAAAGGGAGCGUAGGCGGAUAGUUUAGUCAGAGGUGAAAGCCCAGGGCUCAACCUUGGAAUUGCCUUUGAUACUGGCUAUCUUGAGUAUGGGAGAGGUAUGCGGAACUCCGAGUGUAGAGGUGAAAUUCGUAGAUAUUCGGAAGAACACCAGUGGCGAAGGCGGCAUACUGGCCCAUUACUGACGCUGAGGCUCGAAAGCGUGGGGAGCAAACAGGAUUAGAUACCCUGGUAGUCCACGCUGUAAACGACGAGUGCUAGUUGUCGGCAUGCAUGCAUGUCGGUGACGCAGACUACGACAUAAGACACUCCGCCGUCGGGAGGUACGGUCGCGAAGAAUUAAAACUUAAAGUAGUAAGUUAGUACGGACGUGAGACGUCGACCGACGGACGACGACGAGGGAGAGG
rnacentral:rRNA from 1 species